AUGGACUGUUUCCUCUUAAGAUAAAUUAUUAUGCUCCCUCACCCUUAACUAGUCAACAGUGUCUGGUCACACAGAAGGCGUAAGAGACUGCAGGGCCCUCUUCCUCUUCAGCUCAGAUUGCCCACAACCACAAUGACACUACUAAACAGGGAAAAUUACAAUUAAUGAACAUUACCAAGGCACAGGUGGCCUGACUCUGCCUGAAAUUUAGUUAAUCUGGUCAUUGGAGAAGUUAUGUAAGAGACAAUUGGCUUCCGGUGGAUCAGUGCCAGUGCUUCACGAGUGGAGGUGGCCGGCGCCAGCUCCCAAUUGACCCCAGGUCCUGCCACCUGCAAGACGUCACGUAACUCUGGUUUCUGUAUCACGGCCUCCGCACCGGGAUCGGUUCCAGAGAGGUCCAGAAGCAGUCAAAGGGAAAACACUCACUGAAGUUUACUGAUCUACUCCCACACUAGGGCCCACGGCCUGCUCAUGCUCAUUACAUCCACACAAAGCAAGAUGGGCUCCCCCGCUCAAUCUCAUAGACCGGGACCUGAGCAUGCCAUUGAUGCACAAUAGAUAGAAUAAUAAUACUCACCCUCGAGCAAAGGACAGUGGGGAAAACAAAUAAUGUGCACACACAAUUAGGUCAUUUUCAUGCCGUGAUGGGCAAGUCCCUCUGACGGGGAAUCCUACGCCUGGUCCUUUGAAGUACAGGACAAAGAUUAUGAGAUGGAGGAGAAACUGUUCAUCAGGUUCAGUUGAGAUGACAACUGAUGCACAUGACUUAAUUAAUCUAAUUUCCUCGAAUCGUCCAGUGAGAGGGGAGACAGUAAAUGUGCUCAUAUCGGUUGUGAGAAAUGUGUGAAUGGAUGGGAAAAUUUAGCUUCAUUGUCUGUGUUUAGAUGGGAUGAUACCCGGCAGCCUAACUCACCACUAUGUGCCGGCAGUCACGUCAACGUUACAUCCACCAAGUUUGUUUUGGAAUGGGUUCCUCUGUCGCACUGCCAGCCCAUACUGCUGAGGCCCGGUUUCCUGUAUGCUCUUGGACUGGGUGCUAGUCUUCACACCCCAUAUAAAAAGGUAUUUUUAUUCCUCUGCAUCUUUUCCCGGCAACACGAACAUCAAGUCAUGGAAAGUUUUAGGGAUGUGCAUAAUACCACAGCCGACCUUGUCGCUUCCUCCUUGAGACACGCCAUGUUGCGUGUGGUAUGUUACUAAUCUAAAAUCAACACAACAUGAUAUGAAAAACAGAAGCAGUACACAGAAACGGUUGCUGGGAAUGUACCGUUGUAGUAUUAAUAUGGCACUCUUGCUUUGCCUCAGGAAUAUGAACUGAUAAAAAAUCUUUCCGCUAAUUAACAGACAUACCUUCAAAGGGAAAAUGGAAGGUUACACUGACUUAUCUGUGAAUAAGAAGAUCGUGCCAUGUUGGCUCACAGCAUGCAGACCCCCUCGAGCCUGACAAGUGUCUACAUGUUUUAACUGAUGUGCUGAAAAGUGAAAGCUCUGGAAAUGUAGGUUAAGAUUAAAAUAACGCCCCCUCAAAAAUGAGUAUCACCUUAAUCUUAUUACAAAGAUCAUUUAUUUGUUGGUCAUUUGUUCUUUUGUGAACACCGUCUGUUGUUUAAAACUCACUUUCAAACCUGUAGAGAAUAUGUUUAUAUGUACAGUAAGUGUACAUGAGUGCAGCUAUAAAGUUCAUUCUUGGGAAGAAUAGUAGACAAAAUAUUCUUAAUUCAAGGUCCACUCACUGUCUUUUUCCUUUGGAGCUUUUACUAUCUAUCCAUCCAAUAACGAUUCCUGCUUAUCCUUUAGGGUCGUUAAUCCCAGCUGAUAUUGGGCGAGAGGUGGCGUACACUCUGGACAGGUUGCCAGUCAAUCACAGGCUCUUUGGACUGUGGGAGUUAACCCAAGCAGCCAUGAGGAAAACAUACAAACUCCACAUAGAAAGCCGCCAGCCAGCCGGCUGGUUCGAACCCAGAACCUUCAUGCUGUGAGGCGACACUGCACCUUAUCUUAUCUUCUGAAGGA